CCUACGGGCGGCAGCAGUGGGGAAUAUUGGACAAUGGGGGGAACCCUGAUCCAGCGACGCCGCGUGAGUGAAGAAGUAUUUCGGUAUGUAAAGCUCUAUCAGCAGGGAAGAAAGAAAUGACGGUACCUGACUAAGAAGCCCAGGCUAACUACGUGCCAGCAGCCGCGGUAAUACGUAGGGGGCAAGCGUUAUCCGGAUUUACUGGGUGUAAAGGGAGCGUAGACGGUUACGCAAGUCUGGAGUGAAAGGCGGGGGCCCAAACCCUGGACUGCUUUGGAAACUGUAUAACUUGAGUGCAGGAGAGGUAAGUGGAAUUCCUGGUGUAGCGGUGAAAUGCGUAGAGAUUAGGAGGAACACCAGUGGCGAAGGCGGCUUACUGGACUGUAACUGACGUUGAGGCUCGAAAGCGUGGGGAGCAAACAGGAUUAGAUACCCCAGUAGUC
rnacentral:rRNA from 1 species